UACGUAGGGUGCGAGCGUUAAUCGGAAUUACUGGGCGUAAAGCGUGCGUAGGCGGUUCGCUGUGUCCGAUGUGAAAGCCCCGGGCUUAACCUGGGAAUGGCAUUGGAAACUGGCGGGCUUGAGUGCGGCAGAGGGGGUGGAAUUCCGCGGUGUAGCAGUGAAAUGCGUAGAGAUGCGGAGGAACACCGAUGGCGAAGGCAGCCCCCUGGGUCGACACUGACGCUCAGGUGCGAAAGCUAGGGGAGCGAACAGG
rnacentral:rRNA from 1 species